rnacentral:ncRNA from 2 species
CAAUCCAAGGAGCGUUGCAGCAGCACGGACCGUGUUGUCAGGCUUGGAUGUCCCAACGACGCUCACCUGCC